rnacentral:tRNA from 1 species
GCCCUCGUGGCCCAACUGGCAGAGGCCCGGCGUCGAGAGCGCCGGUCGUGCGCGUUCGAAUCGCGCCGAGGGCAC